UACGAAGGGUGCUAGCGUUGUUCGGAAUCACUGGGCGUAAAGCGCACGUAGGCGGAUGUGUCAGUCAGGGGUGAAAUCCCGGAGCUCAACUUCGGAACUGCCUUUGAUACAGCACGUCUUGAGUCCGAUAGAGGUGGGUGGAAUUCCUAGUGUAGAGGUGAAAUGCGUAGAUAUUAGGAAGAACACCGGUGGCGAAGGCGGCCCACUGGAUCGGUACUGACGCUGAGGUGCGAAAGCGUGGGGAGCAAACAGG
rnacentral:rRNA from 1 species